rnacentral:rRNA from 1 species
CCUUUGUACACACCGCCCGUCGCUACUACCGAUUGAAUGAUCCAGUGAGGCUUUCGGACUGGCCCAGGAAGAGUGGCAACACUCAUCUAGGGCCGGAAAGUUGUCCAAACUUGGUCAUUUAGAGG